AGUUUGAUCAUGGCUCAGAUUGAACGCUGGCGGGAUGCUUUACAUGCAAGUCGAGCAGCAGCACGGACUUCGGUCUGGUGGCGAGUGGCGAACGGGUGAGUAAUGUAUCGGAACGUGCCUAGUAGCGGGGGAUAACUACGCGAAAGCGUAGCUAAUACCGCAUACGCCCUUCGAGAAGCGGGGGACCUUCAGGCCUCGCACUAUGGAAACGGCCGAUAUCGGAUUAGCUAGUUGGUGGGGUAACGGCUCACCAAGGCGACGAUCCGUAGCUGGUUUGAAGGACGACCAGCCACACUGGGACUGAGACACGGCCCAGACUCCUACCGGGAGGCAGCAGUGGGGAAUUUUGGACAAUGGAAACCCUGAUCCAGCCAUCCCGCGUGUGCGAUGAAGGCCUUCGGGUUGUAAGCACUUUUGGCAGGAAAGAAACGGCACGGGAUAAUACCCCGUGCAACUGACGGUACCUGCAGAAUAAGCACCGGCUAACUACGUGCCAGCAGCCGCGGUAAUACGUAGGGUGCAAGCGUUAAUCGGAAUUACUGGGCGUAAAGCGUGCGCAGGCGGUUCGGAAAGAAGAUGUGAAAUCCCAGAGCUUAACUUUGGAACUACAUUUUUAACUACCGAGCUAGAGUGUGUCAGAGGAGGUGGAAUUCCGCGUGUAGCAGUGAAAUGCGUAGAUAUGCGGAGGAACACCGAUAGCGAAAACCUCCUGGGGAUGUGCUACUGACGCUCAUGCACGAAAGCGUGGGAGCAAACGGAUUAGAUACCCUGGUAGUCCACGCCCUAAACGAUGUCAACUAGCUGUUGGGGCCUUCGGGCCUUGGUAGCGCAGCUAACGCGUGAAGUUGACCGCCUGGAAGUACGGUCGCAAGAUUAAAACUCAAAGGAAUUGACGGGGACCCGCACAAGCGGUGGAUGAUGUGGAUUAAUUCGAUGCAACGCGAAAAACCUUACCUACCCUUGACAUGUCUGGAAUCCCGAAGAGAUUUGGGAGUGCUCGCAAGAGAACCGGAACACAGGUGCUGCAUGGCUGUCGUCAGCUCGUGUCGUGAGAUGUUGGGUUAAGUCCCGCAACGAGCGCAACCCUUGUCAUUAGUUGCUACGAAAGGGCACUCUAAUGAGACUGCCGGUGACAAACCGGAGGAAGGUGAGGAUGACGUCAAGUCCUCAUGGCCCUUAUGGGUAGGGCUUCACACGUCAUACAAUGGUCGGGACAAGAGGGUCGCCAACCCGCGAGGGGAGCCAAUCCCAGAAACCCGAUCGUAGUCCGGAUCGCAGUCUGCAACUCGACUGCGUGAAGUCGAAAUCGCUAGUAAUCGCGGAUCAGCAUGUCGCGGUGAAUACGUUCCCGGGUCUUGUACACACCAGCCCGUCACACCAUGGGAGUGGGUUUUACCAGAAACAGUUAGCCUAACCGUAAGGAGGCGAUUACCACGGUAAGUUCAUGACUGGGGUGAAGUCGUAACUAAGGCCAG
rnacentral:rRNA from 1 species